CUUUGUCUUUGUGUUAGGGGAACCAUAGAUUUAAAUUGGGAUCUGUUGUGAUUAUCAAGACUCCGUGAUAGUUUAAGUUUCAUAUCCCCGUAUAGUACUUGUGGAUUAGUGGUAAUUGUAUCGUUUAUGCGCUUAUGGUAACGGUGAUGUUGUAAUAUGUUAUCGUACCCUUUGUUGUCUACUGAAGCCUUUUCAGAUAUCUUGAACUCAUGCUCGCUGUUAUAGGAAAUGGGAUUGGUAGUCAAAUCUAAUUGUUUUGGACACUUGGGCCAUAUGCUGUUAGUUAAUUGAUUAAUGGAUGUGUAUAGGGUUAGACCAAUCUGACACCAUACUGUCUACAGACUUCCAUGAAAAUGAAAUUGUUACUUUAGGAAUUUUAAGUCUCAUGCUCUAGUACGUGUCAUAGGGAGUGGAAAAAAAAUCCAUAGCUUAUACUUUAGGUAAUUGGAAUUUAUGAAUGUUACCUGACUAUUCCUAGGUUGGUUAAGUUUGAUUUAUGAAUGUUACCGUCUUUUUGGCUCAUAGACACAGUAGUAUGAGUAAGGUAAAAUAUUGUUUGGUGUUUUUGCUAUUUUGUCUUGUUUGUUUGGUAGUCAAGUAGAUUAGAAAUAUCCUAACUAUUUAAAUGUUGCGCAUUCGUGUAAAUGGGCGGGAGCAGUAGCUUGGAUGAAAGUCUGUUGAGGUGUAUUUGCGAUGGAACCUAGUAAUGCAGCGAGAGAGUGUGUUGUUAGGGAUCGUGAAGGAGUUUAAUUGUUUCCAGUAUCGGUGGAUAUUCAGAAGAUAUCUAACUGAGGAUGGACAUCUACACUUCUUUUAUUUUUUUUAAUUUCUCUGUUAUCUAGUUGUGAGGCAGUGGGGAUUCUUACUUUGGGUAGACUUCAUUAUAUAUAUAUAUAUAUAUAUUUUUUGUUAGUUCCGUAUUGAAAGGUGGAUUGUAUUAUUGAAGUCUAAUAUAUUGGUUCUACUCUUUAGACACCUUCA